rnacentral:rRNA from 1 species
AACGAACGCUGGCGGCAUGCCUAACACAUGCAAGUCGAACGAGACCUUCGUGCCUUGUGGCGCACGUCUGCUUACCGCCUGGGAACCUGCCCUUAGGUUCGCAAUCCCUCCCCGAAAGGUGUCCUCAUACCGCUUAAUCUCUUCCCACCAAAGAUUUAUGGCGUUGGGAUGGGCGCGCGUUGGAUUCGCCAGUUGGUAGUGUAAAAGCCUACCAAGGCGAGGAUGCAUGGCUGGUCGGGGAGGAUGACAAGCCAGACUGGACAUGAGACACGGCCCAGACUCGUACGGGAGGGAGCAGUGGGGAAUAUUGGACGAUGGGCGAAAGCCUGAUACAGCAAUGCGGCGUGAGUGAGGAAGGGCGUAGGGUUGUAAAGCUCUUUUAGACGGGAUGAGAAUGACAGUACCGGGAGAAUAAGCUCCGGCUAACUACGUG